UGAAAAUUGAAAGAAAGCAAAAAUGUCUUUAUGACUGUGGUGGAGUCCCAGCUCAGCUCGGCUGAGGGCUCUCAGCUAAAUCACAUCACUGUGGAGGACAAAGCAGAUGAGCAUGGCAGGAGUGCAUGUGGGAAGCAGGACUACAUCUCAAGUAUGGUGACAGAGAGAGCCGGAGGCAGCCAGGACAGGAGCAGGCAUUAAUAACAACUCACUCUCCUGAGGACUUAUGCCAGGGGACUGGUAUUCUCUUCCUAGUUUGUACAAUGUUGGCAUUUUUCAUCAAAGUCCUUGAAAAUAUUUGGACCUUGAAGUACCCUAGAGACCUUCAAAAGCACAAGUGGAAAAGGCCUAUCAGUUUGACCACAGAUGUAACCAUAGCAGAUAUGGACCUAGAAUCCAGGGAUUUGGUCACUGAUUAGUCCAUCUGAGAUCUUCAGUUUCCGUGACUAUUCAAGCACUUGGUUAUGGGCGCAUGGUGUGAUCAUACUUUAAAGGGUCCAGAAUGACCCAUCACUUGGGUUCCUUCAGUGGCCUCCCCUCAUCUCAGGAGAAGGAGAUCUGGACCUGUCGUCUUGGCCUGUUGAUUGCUUUGAGCUGAAGGCACCUGAGACACAGCAGGCACAAGAAGGGCUUUCUGACAUUCUCUUUUCCGUCUAAAAGCAGGCCAUACAGUUUCCCCUAAGAGAAGUGCCCUGCCUGGACCAGGAAGAGAAGAACACUCAUCUUCACAAGCUAAGGAAUCAAGGCUAAAACAGACCUGCACAAACAAACUUACUAAAAUAA